rnacentral:lncRNA from 10 species
AAGACAGUAACCUCUAACAGCAAGGCACAAUCUGUUGGGAAUUGCCACUAACCACAAAGCAAAGAAAACUAUUUUGAAAAACUCCUAUCCCAGUUUGGCCUCAGGAUGUGACUACUUAAUAAAAGCUCUCCAUAGAAAUCUCAAGGACACAACUUUUCCCCCCAUCUUGUGGAAGGAUGACAUUUUCUGAUAUUUGCUUCAAACUCUGAGUGAGACCCUAUGCAGGUCCCACAGAUAUCUAAGGUCAAAAUCUGCUGCAUCGGUGCCUGGAGAAUGCUUGGUGGUGACGACUUGAUCAAUAUCUCCAAGACACUGGCUCCUAGCAACAUUUUGAAUUAACUUGGCUUUAAAUGUUCCAGCUCCCUUUGCUCAGGAAAGCUCAUGAAAAAGAAACACUAAAAUUAAGGCUAAUGAUUAUAGAGAAAAAACAUGUAGUACACCUCACAGAUAAUACAUGAGACUAGCUUCAUCUUCCUUCUGUAACACGUUUAUGAUGAACAGAACACAACCUUUUUCUGGAUGGCAUUUUCAGCUGAUGUGUCACAGCAUGAAAGGGUCUAAAGAUUACAUGUACUUCCCAUUCUUAGCUUGUUAUAAGGCAGGAGGAACAGAGGAUGAGGGAUUUUGUGGCUGUGAUUUUUACAUGAAGAGCAGGGAUGGGUGUUAGGUCCCUAGCCUGAUAUUUAAAUCUAAGAUUACCUGGAAACUAAGCAGGAGAAAGAAAAAAGCAGGCUAUAUUAUAAGCACAGCCAAUAUCAAAUAAACUUUGAAAGACUUCUCUGGAAAUGCUGUUAAAAUUCAGCUCAAACCUUUAUUUGUUUAUUUGUUUGAUUUUUCCCUGAGACGGAGGCUACAAGAAGCAGAAAAGCAAAUACCCUAUGUGAUGCUUGUAUUUGAGAACUACAGAGAGAGGUUAACUGAUGAAGUUCAAGUGUCAAGGAGAAUACCCACUUUGAGCCACUUCAGAUCUUGGGAGGUGCCAAUCUUCCUGGGUCCUGAUAUUAAAGUCCUCAGAGUAUGCAGCUAGGUCCAGUUGGCAGGAUAGAGCAUCAAAUGACAUUUGGAAGACUGGUCUAAUCUGAUAAACAAUUAAAUCACAUUCCCCUGAAAUUUGCCUUUCCAAAUAUUGUCUGUACUGAAGUCAAGAUAAGAAGUCAAAUUGUGAAAAUGUAUUGGUUUAAAAAUGAAAUGGCCUCUGAUAUGCAUUGAAGCAAUGCCUCUGUUCAUUGAGUCACCUUUCUAGAAUUCUCUAAGUGUCACCUGCAACCUCUUUUUUUCUCUUUAAACCACCUGCUUUCACAUUCACCCACUCUACUUCCUACCUGUCUUUUCUAUUUAUUGACUCACUAGAAUUAGUCACUCAUUUUGGUGCUAUUUCUGCUCCAGGGUUACCCAAGUUAAUAUGUAUGUAACUGUGGCUUACUUGUAGUUCUUUGAAGUCAGAUAAAUCAGAGGCAAAUGCAGAACCAAAGAAGUGAGGGGACUGAUAAGGAGAC